AUACCUUUCUCGGCCUUUUGGCUAAGAUCAAGUGUAGUAUUUGUUCUUAUCAGUUUAAUAUCUGAUAUGUGGGACAUGUGCCCACAAUGAUAUUAAAUUUAUUUUUUAUGGGGGAAAGUCCACCACACUAGCUUGCUAGUGGGGCCUUCAUGUGUCGCCUGGGCUUUGCACUAUUGCCAAGGCAGGCGCACCCCAA
rfam:Triticum aestivum genome assembly, contig: Triticum_aestivum_CS42_TGACv1_scaffold_513521_6BS